rnacentral:rRNA from 1 species
AUGCCGCCUCAUAAGAUAGAGACUGGCCACCAAGAUGUGGUGCAUGACAUCGCAAUGGAUUACUACGGGAAGCGUAUUGCCACUGCCUCCUCUGAUAACACAAUCAAGAUCAUUGGCGUAAGUGGCACCUCGCACCAGCAACUUGCUACUUUGAGCGGACACGAGCAAAUCGCAUGGGCUCAUCCCAAGUAUGGUUCCAUGCUUGCAUCCUGCAGCUAUGAUGGUCGGGUCAUCAUAUGGAAAGAAGGGAGUAAGCCCGAUGAGUGGGCACAGGCACACACUUUCAAUGAGCACAAGUCUUCUGUCAAUUCCAUUGCUUGGGCGCCUCACGAGCUCGGCCUCUGCUUGGCUUGCGGUUCGUCUGAUGGGAACAUUUCCGUGUUCAUGGCUCGUUCUGAUGGAGGGUGGGAGACGACGCGCAUCGAUCAGGCACAUCCAGUGGGCGUCACCUCUGUUUCCUGGGCCCCAUCAAUGGCGCCGGGCGCUCUAAUCAGUCCAGGGCCUUCUGGGCAGUUCGAGUACGUCCAGAAACUUGCUUCUGGUGGCUGCGACAACACGGUCAAGGUGUGGAAGCUCACCAACGGGAGUUGGAGGAUGGACUGCUUUCCUGCCCUUCAGAUGCACAGGGACUGGGUGAGGGACGUCGCCUGGGCGCCGAACCUAGGCCUCCCUAAGUCCACGAUCGCCAGCGCCUCUCAGGAUGGAACCGUCGUCAUCUGGACCGCGCCAAAAGAAGGCGAGCAGUGGGAAGGCAGGGUCCUGAAUGAUUUCAGAACCCCUGUUUGGAGGCUGUCGUGGUCGCUGACGGGCAACAUCUUGGCGGUCUCCGAUGGCAACAACAAUGUGACCCUCUGGAAAGAAGCCGUCGACGGCGAAUGGCAGCAAGUGACUACCGUCGAGCCAUAG